rnacentral:rRNA from 1 species
UUGAAAGGGAAACGAUUGAAGUCAGUCGUACCUGUGGGUAAUCAGCCUUUUGGGUGUGAUUUUGUGGAGUGUGAGGAGUUAAACGCCUUCAUGCCUGCAUAUUCGUGCACUUUGGGUGUAUUUACCCGUGUGGUAAGUUAACAUCAAUUUCGGUGGUCAUAAAAUGGCUGGAGGAAUGUAGCUUCGACCUCGGUUGAAGUGUUAUAGCCUUUGGUAGAUGUGGAGAUUAGGGCCGAGGAUUGCAGCGAAUACCUUUUAGGCUAUUCGUCUGACCUCUGAAAGUUACUUAGGUGCCGAAAGCUUGCUUACGGUCAUUUAAGUUGACGGUCAAUAGGUUAGAACGUGAUUACCUUCGUUAAGGAUGUUGACGUA